rnacentral:rRNA from 1 species
CCUACGGGCGGCAGCAGUGGGGAAUAUUGGACAAUGGGCGAAAGCCUGAUCCAGCCAUGCCGCGUGUGUGAAGAAGGCCUUCGGGUUGUAAAGCACUUUCAGUGGGGAAGAAAGCCUUGGGGCUAAUACCCUCGAGGAAGGACAUCACCCACAGAAGAAGCACCGGCUAACUCCGUGCCAGCAGCCGCGGUAAUACGGAGGGUGCGAGCGUUAAUCGGAAUUACUGGGCGUAAAGCGCGCGUAGGCGGUCUGAUAAGCCGGUUGUGAAAGCCCCGGGCUCAACCUGGGAACGGCAUCCGGAACUGUCAGGCUAGAGUGCAGGAGAGGAAGGUAGAAUUCCCGGUGUAGCGGUGAAAUGCGUAGAGAUCGGGAGGAAUACCAGUGGCGAAGGCGGCCUUCUGGACUGACACUGACGCUGAGGUGCGAAAGCGUGGGUAGCAAACAGGAUUAGAUACCUUGUAGUC